AUUGGGGUGUGGGCCAGAAACGACACGCGCUAAUUUAAACCCUAAACCUGUUUGACUGUUAAGGGGAUUUUGCCGGCGUUUACCCCUGUGGAUCCCAAAAAAUCUUAAACGUUGAUGCACUGCGCGUGGUUUAGUUUCCAGUUGUCUAAUAUAGCCUUUGAGGUUCGUAGGUGGGUGCUGCCUACACCAUUGCCAUGGUGUCUUGCGGCGGCAGCUAUUGUCCUCGCCUCUUAAUCACCCCCCCUUUUU
rnacentral:telomerase_RNA from 1 species